UACCUCAGUCGAAAGUCUUCAUGAGGAGG
rnacentral:piRNA from 1 species